UUUAUUGGGAUAGCGACCUCUGCCAAAGGCUCUGCCCAGGUGGGCCACCGUCCGUCUCAUAGGACUUUGGCUUGCAGCUGCUGCUACACUAGUCCACCAAAUGUGGGAGUCCUACAGACGGUUUGUGGGGCUCUGCCCAGUUUUUAUUGGGAUAGCGACCUCUGCCAGAGGCUCUGCCCAGGUGGGCCACCGUCCGUCUCAUAGGACUUUGGCUUGCAGCUGCUGCUACACUAGUCCACCAAAUGUGGGAGUCCUACAGACGGUUUGUGGGGCUCUGCCCAGUUUUUAUUGGGAUAGCGACCUCUGCCAGAGGCUCUGCCCAGGUGGGCCACCGUCCGUCUCAUAGGACUUUGGCUUGCAGCUGCUGCUACACUAGUCCACCAAAUGUGGGAGUCCUACAGACGGUUUGUGGGGCUCUGCCCAGUUUUUAUUGGGAUAGCGACCUCUGC